rnacentral:lncRNA from 1 species
GUGAGAUCACACUAAGAUCCUAAAGGCUUUGCGCUUCUCUGGAGUGGCUGCUGUCUCAUGCACACCUGGCCUGGUGUGCUCACCCCACCCAGUGUGUCUGUCCUGCCUGGCCUGGACCCAGAGCCACACAGGGGCAUCCCCAGCACAUCCCGCCCCAGGAUUCCUCUUCCCUGAUUCAUCUGAGCCCAGACAGCAGGUGGCAGACACGUUCCUGCCCAGACCCGGACACCUCCAUCUGCUUGGACCACUGGCUUCCCUCAGGCUUUGCCGUCAGAACAGACAGGUGGUUUCUUUUAAACCUGUGCCACCCCGUUUUGCCCUGCAAAUGCUGUUAUUUUUAAAGCUACUGAAUCACGUGAUUUUCCUACUUUGCUUCAUGCCACCCCCGGGGCUGCGGCUCUGCUGCUGCCCGCCCUUGCCCUGCCGCUCCUGCAGAGUCCUCCUCUCCACCCACAACUCACGGUGGCCACAUGGGCUGGGCUUCUCACCUUGGCCACUGCCUCCCAUGUCACCCAUGUGAUGAUGAUGGAGGGCCCAGGGGUGCCGGGACUGAGAACUGGAGCCUCCACCCUAGCGCCUGGCUCUGCGUGGGAGGUGGGGUGGGGUGGUCAAACUCCAGCUGUCUUCUCAGUGGGCCUUUGACACCACUUUUUAUCUUCCUAUUAAAAAUGUGUGCAAUGCUGUAACAAUUCUAAUUAACUCCUUAGGUUCCACUCCUAGGAACAAACCUAGGAGGUCAGGAGGUGAGAACUUCCAACCCACCUGGCUGAAGCUUCAGAGCCCACGUACCGUUUCUCUGCCUUUGCCUCCUCUUUUUCCGUUGAGGUAAUCAGCUGUUCCCUUCUCUCUGAGCCAUGGUGGGCAGCUCGUCUCCUGCAGACAUCACCCUCCAGAACUACCCCAGGCUCUGCAAGAUGCCACCCGGCGUCAGGACCUGCCAGGCCAGUGAGACAGGUGGUCCCUCUCGCAGCAGGGCCACACCCACCACGUGGGCUAAAGGCACAAAGUCUUCCUACCAGGUGGGAGGGCACGGCUGCAUGGGGCUGUCUGUCCUUCCAGAUCCUUAGAACGCUCACAGUCCUUAGGGUCCCAGGACCCACUUCUUCCUGCAGCUCUGGGUCACAGGAGCCCAGCUUCAGGGUACAGACAAGGACCUAAAGUGCAGCCCCAGAUCCUCUGAUGGUGAACUCCAGCUGACCUCAGCGUUUCCAGGCAAGCUCCAGCCGCAGGUUCCCUGGAGGUGCUGCACAGGACAAAGCUCCCUGCUGGGCUCCUCGAAGCCAUCCUGAAAAGCAG